rnacentral:misc_RNA from 1 species
GAAAAAAAUGGCAGCUUUGCCGUCGGCAGACUGGCAAUGGGAAAAUGCCGUCGCCGGCGCCGCCGCGGGUCUCGCCACUGUCACUUUCUCUCAUCCACUUGACGUUGUUCGUACCAGGUUCCAGGUUUACGAUGGAAGAAUUUCCAAUGUCCCUGCCUAUAGGAACACACCUCACGCUUUAUAUGCCAUUGCUCGAAGUGAGGGUUUUAGAGGACUUUAUGCUGGUUUUUACCCUGCUGUUCUUGGGUCAACUAUUUCAUGGGGUUUAUAUUUUUUCU